CCGACCCCGUGGACCGACCCCGUGGACCGACCCAGUUUGAUCAUGUUUUGGGACUCAGCUCAGCGUCCGUUGUCAUCCUCUGACAAAUCAAUGAGUGCUUGGACGAACCUCCUCAGCUCCGGGAUCAGGCACGACACAACAAGCAUGCUGAUGCUGCGGGAACCAACGCACGGGCAUCGAUCGCAGGGACGUC